ACGGAGGAGCAGACACGUGGUUUUGAUGAAGACAUAAAUUGAGCCGCAGCUUCAUUAACGACCUCUCUUCUCUUCCUUGUUGCGGUGGUGGAGGUCGGACAGCAGCAUGCGUGAAGCUUCGCUCCCGGACUGAAGAGCACAGACUGGAUACAUCAUCAGGUAAUGGACAGUUCACAACUGGAUCAUCACUUAGAUUUAAGUGUAUAAGGACAAAAUUGAAUGAGUGUUCAUCAUUUGAUGUUUUGAACUCUCUGAUUUACUGUUAAAUGUUGAAAUGACUUUAUAAUGUAUGCCCAUGUAAGAUCCAAAUCCAUACUGAGUUCUGACUUUCUUAAAUAAAACAUUGAACUACUAUAAAACUCAUGUCUUUAUUUGCAGUUCAAAGAGGUAAUAUGUUAAUUACUAGAAAGUAAAAUAUGCCAGCAAGAUGUUGUGAAAAAUGGCAUGUUCAAGGACCAACUAAUCUUUGAAUCUGUAAAGCUUGCUACACACUUUUUGAUGCAUACAAAUGUGCCAUGCACUCUUUUACUGAGCUGGUUGAAGUUUGUCAAAGGUAAUUUGUACUUUGAGGUACUGCAGGGUGUUCUGUUGUAGGUAAAUGAAGUUGCCAGAUACAAUAGUGAAAUUCAACACCACUGCAACCAUAACAAGUUACACCUCCUGUGACAGUAAAAACAUCCGUAAGAGCUG